CGGGACGGGUGAGUAACGCGUGAGUAACCUACCCUGUACACACGGAUAACAUACCGAAAGGUAUGCUAAUACGGGAUAAUAUAUUUGAGAGGCAUCUCUUGAAUAUCAAAGGUGAGCCAGUACAGGAUGGACCCGCGUCUGAUUAGCUAGUUGGUAAGGUAACGGCUUACCAAGGCGACGAUCAGUAGCCGACCUGAGAGGGUGAUCGGCCACAUUGGAACUGAGACACGGUCCAA
rnacentral:rRNA from 1 species